rnacentral:rRNA from 1 species
UACGUAGGUGGCGAGCGUUGUCCGGAUUUACUGGGCGUAAAGGGAGCGUAGGCGGACUUUUAAGUGAGAUGUGAAAUACUCGGGCUCAACUUGAGUGCUGCAUUUCAAACUGGAAGUCUAGAGUGCAGGAGAGGAGAAUGGAAUUCCUAGUGUAGCGGUGAAAUGCGUAGAGAUUAGGAAGAACACCAGUGGCGAAGGCGGCCUGCUGGACCGAAACUGACGUUGAGGCUCGAAAGCGUGGGGAGCAAACAGG